GACGAACGCUGGUGGCGUGCCUAAUACAUGCAAGUCGAGCGGACCAAUAGAAGCUUGCUUCUGUUGGUUAGCGGCGGACGGGUGAGUAACACGUGGGCAACCUGCCUGUAAGACUGGGAUAGCUUCGGGAAACCGGAGCUAAUACCGGAUAAUUCAUCCCCUCGCAUGAGGGGAUGCUGAAAGUCGGUUUACGCUGACACUUACAGAUGGGCCCGCGGCGCAUUAGCUAGUUGGUGAGGUAAUGGCUCACCAAGGCGACGAUGCGUAGCCGACCUGAGAGGGUGAUCGGCCACACUGGGACUGAGACACGGCCCAGACUCCUACGGGAGGCAGCAGUAGGGAAUCUUCCACAAUGGACGAAAGUCUGAUGGAGCAACGCCGCGUGAGCGAUGAAGGCCUUCGGGUCGUAAAGCUCUGUUGUUAGGGAAGAACAAGUAUCGGAGUAACUGCCGGUACCUUGACGGUACCUAACCAGAAAGCCACGGCUAACUACGUGCCAGCAGCCGCAGUAA
rnacentral:rRNA from 1 species